rnacentral:rRNA from 1 species
UACGGGGGGGGCAAGCGUUGUUCGGAAUUACUGGGCGUAAAGCGCACGUAGGCGGCUCUUUAAGUCGGAGGUGAAAUCCUGGAGCUCAACUCCAGAACUGCCUUCGAUACUGUAGAGCUUGAGUUCGGGAGAGGUGAGUGGAACUGCGAGUGUAGAGGUGAAAUUCGUAGAUAUUCGCAAGAACACCAGUGGCGAAGGCGGCUCACUGGCCCGAUACUGACGCUGAGGUGCGAAAGCGUGGGGAGCAAACAGG